UACGGGGGGAGCAAGCAUUGUUCGGAUUUACUGGGCGUAAAGGGCGCGUAGGCGGUCGUGACAAGUCACUUGUGAAAUCUCCGGGCUUAACUCGGAACGGUCAAGUGAUACUGUCGGACUAGAGUACAGAAGGGGCAACUGGAAUUCUCGGUGUAGCGGUGAAAUGCGUAGAUAUCGAGAGGAACACCUGCGGCGAAGGCGGGUUGCUGGGCGUGACUACGUGACGCUGAGGCGCGAAAGCCAGGGGAGCGAACGGG
rnacentral:rRNA from 1 species